AGAGUUUGAUCCUGGCUCAGGACGAACGCUGGCGGCGGGCCUAACACAUGCAAGUCGAACGCACUCGACCUUCGGGUCACAUGAGUGAGUGGCGAACGGGUGAGUAACACGUGAGGAACCUGCCCCGAAGACUGGAAUAACCCGAGGAAACUCGGGCUAAUACCGGAUAUCCCCACCAGGUCGCAUGGCCAGGUGAGGAAAUGCUCCGGCGCUUCGGGAGGGUCUCGCGGCCUAUCAGCUAGUUGGUGAGGUAACGGCUCACCAAGGCAUCGACGGGUAGCUGGUCUGAGAGGACGAUCAGCCACACUGGGACUGAGACACGGCCCAGACUCCUACGGGAGGCAGCAGUGGGGAAUCUUGCGCAAUGGGCGAAAGCCUGACGCAGCCACGCCGCGUGAGGGAUGAAGGCUUUCGGGUUGUAAACCUCUUUCAGCAGGGACGAAAAUGACGGUACCUGCAGAAGAAGCUCCGGCCAACUACGUGCCAGCAGCCGCGGUAACACGUAGGGAGCAAGCGUUGUCCGGAUUUAUUGGGCGUAAAGAGCUCGUAGGCGGUUCAGUCAGUCGGGUGUGAAAACUUGAGGCUCAACCUCAAGAGGCCACUCGAUACUGCUGUGACUAGAGUCCGGUAGAGGAGUGUGGAAUUCCUGGUGUAGCGGUGAAAUGCGCAGAUAUCAGGAGGAACACCGACAGCGAAGGCAGCACUCUGGGCCGGUACUGA
rnacentral:rRNA from 1 species